rnacentral:rRNA from 1 species
UACGAGGGGGGCAAGCGUUGUUCGGAAUUAUUGGGCGUAAAGGGCUCGUAGGUGGCCAACUAAGUCAUACGUGAAAUCCCUCGGCUUAACCGGGGAACUGCGUCUGAUACUGGAUGGCUUGAGGUUGGGAGAGGGAUGCGGAAUUCCAGGUGUAGCGGUGAAAUGCGUAGAUAUCUGGAGGAACACCGAUGGCGAAGGCAGGUCUCUGGGCCACUACUGACGCUGAGAAGCGAAAGCAUGGGGAGCGAACAGG